rnacentral:rRNA from 1 species
CCUACGGGUGGCAGCAGUAGGGAAUCUUUCACAAUGGGCGAAAGCCUGAUGGAGCAACGCCGCGUGCAGGAUGAAGGCCUUCGGGUUGUACACUGCUUUUAUAAGCGAGAAAUAUGAUGGUAACUUAUGAAUAAGGAUCGGCUAACUACGUGCCAGCAGCCGCGGUCAUACGUAGGAUCCGAGCAUUAUCCGGAGUGACUGGGUGUAAAGAGUUGCGUAGGUGGCAUAAUAAGUAGCUAGUGAAAUCUGGUGGCUCAACCAUUCAGACUAUUAGCUAAACUGUUAAGCUCGAGACCGUUAGGGGUAACUGGAAUUUCUAGUGUAGGAGUGAAAUCCGUAGAUAUUAGAAGGAACACCAAUAGCGUAGGCAGGUUGCUGGGACGGUUCUGACACUAAGGCACGAAAGCGUAGGGAUCAAACGGGAUUAGAUACCCGUGUAGUC